rnacentral:rRNA from 1 species
AGGGUUCGAUUCUGGCUCAGAUUGAACGCUGGCGGCAUGCCUUACACAUGCAAGUCGAACGGUAACAGGUCUUCGGAUGCUGACGAGUGGCGAACGGGUGAGUAAUACAUCGGAACGUGCCCGAUCGUGGGGGAUAACGCAGCGAAAGCUGUGCUAAUACCGCAUACGAUCUACGGAUGAAAGCAGGGGACCCGCAAGGGCCUUGCGCGGACGGAGCGGCCGAUGGCAGAUUAGGUAGUUGGUGGGAUAAAAGCUUACCAAGCCGACGAUCUGUAGCUGGUCUGAGAGGACGACCAGCCACACUGGGACUGAGACACGGCCCAGACUCCUACGGGAGGCAGCGGUGGGGAAUUUUGGACAAUGGGCGAAAGCCUGAUCCAGCCAUGCCGCGUGCAGGAUGAAGGCCUUCGGGUUGUAAACUGCUUUUGUACGGAACGAAAAGGCUCCUUCUAAUAAAGGGGGCCCAUGACGGUACCGUAAGAAUAAGCACCGGCUAACUACGUGCCAGCCGCUGC